GAUGAAGAACGUAGUGAAAUGCGAUAUUUAAUGUGAAUUGCAGAAUUCAGUGAAUCAUCGAGUCUUUGAACGCACAUUGCGCCCCCUGGUAUUCCGGGGGGCAUGCCUGUCCGAGCGUCAUUGCUGCCCUCAAGCACGGCUUGUGUGUUGGGCUUCCGUCCCUGGCAACGGGGACGGGCCCAAAAGGCAGUGGCGGCACCAUGUCUGGUCCUCGAGCGUAUGGGGCUUUGUCACCCGCUCCCGUAGGUCCAGCUGGCAGCUAGCCUCGCAACCAAUCUUUUUAACCAGGUUGACCUCGGAUCAGGUAGGGAUACCCGCUGAACUUAAGCAUAUCAAUAAGCGGAGGA
rnacentral:misc_RNA from 1 species